AUGAGCACAUACGUGUAGAUUUAUCUUGGUAGGCGCGCCUCCAUCUCCCUCUCCAUUUCCCCAAAUCCAGGCUUCAUAGUUCGAUCCCCAUUGCCAACACACAAACCAUCAGCAAAAUCCAGUGUCUCCCAUUGAUCUCUCUCUCUCUCUCUCUCGUGUCUGUACAAUCUCCCUCCAAAUCUCUCUCGAUCUUUCUCCGUUUCUCGCUGCAAUCUAGGGUGUAAGUUUACCCCUCUAAUGGCCCCGUACAUUGCGACCCUCCCAAAACCCUAAUUUUUAAUUUUCCAUUCCAUUUUAUUCAAAAAUUGUCUGGUGGAAAAUGGAGGCGAUGCGUCGGGCUCGAGCGGCCGGCGGCGGGGGAGAGCAGAUGCCAAGCGCGAACGCGCAGCUGCCGUCCACCCGGCGACCUACCCGCUAGUGCUGUGGAACCCGCCUGGGAUCGACCUACUGGCCAAGUAGUUCAAGCACGCAGCACGCAGCUCAACACCUAUCUUUGAAGGAAGAUUGCAGAAUCAGCUGGACAAAUUUGAUACACAAACAGGGAAUCAGUGAGUAAAUGCAAAGAAGAAUGAAUUGAGGGCAGGUUUUGCAAGUCUGGUAUACCCACUGUUAUUGGAUUGUUCUUCAUAGAGACCAGCCCCUUCAUAGUGUUAUGCAAUUGGAUUGUUCUUCAUGGAGACCAGCCCCUUCAUAGUGUUCCCUGCAUAAAAAUAAAAUUGAAA